GAUUUUGAUAGAACGCAGCAUACAACUGGAAAAAAUUACCACUCCUAUGACAGAUGGUAAAAAAAUCAAUAAUUUGAUUAGUGAAUUGAGUUUAUAAGCUACAAAUCUACUAACUCUUGAAUUUCAAGUUCUGUCUGGAGAAAUUGUGUGCUCCUGUUUGCAAACAAACUGUGUGUUAGUUCAAGGCGAUCUUGGUCUCCAGUAAAUUCUCAGUAGUAUUCCACGAACAGUCAUCCAGCAGUCUUACAGAAAUGAAUGGAAAAGAAUGGAAUCAACUGUCAGCUCGUGUCACCAAUUCAGCAGUGAGUCUGACUGGCCGAUGACUACAUUACACAGUUGUAAAUUCUGGGUGUUGCAGUUGUGUCUACAGUUUUCCUUUCUGCCUGCCUGUAUUUACUACAAAGAAUCGUUUUCAUAAAAAUGGAACGGCCAAGGAAUGCUACGAACGUGCAGGUGCCACCAAUGAAGGAUGGCUCAUGACUUGGUAGAAGAGGCCAAGCUAUCUGCAUUCCUUCUGUACUAUGGGCUAACAACCAGCGAGAUUAGAUGUUGCUGCAGGUGCAGGGACUGAGACUAGUGUUCUGGUCUGCUUCCAAGAGGGUAAGUUAUGUUCAUUAUAGACUCUUUAGGUCUUUGAGUGCCCAGUAUGUAUGUUGUGCUCCUGUUAACGCGGCAGCGUGUACGUAGGCCAAACUACUCUCUCUGUUCCAGUGUUUUGUACUGUGGAAGUGUGACUCGGUAAACAGAGAGAGCUUGAGAAUUCAAGUGUGGCUGAAUAUUCCUUGGAGAAUGGACACACAAUAAAAUUUGAAGAGACUAUAUUCUUCGCUCAUGCAUCACCACCAAUCAUCACCUCAGCCCUUGGCUGGCUGUAGCUGAUAUGAGCUUCUCAACUUGCCUUCCACUCAUGUGUUACUUUGGCCCUCCCUGGAAGGUUCCAGAUGCUGCUGUCAUGAUUGUGUAGGUGGAACACUGUGCCAGCACUGGCAGUCAGUGGUUUCCUUACUCCUGAUGACAGCUUGAAAACUGAGAAGAUUUUACUAAGGCAUGCCACUGUGAAAGGCUCCAAGGAUACACAGAAUGUUUAAGUCUGCCAGGAAGUAUCCCCUGAGACACUGAUUGAUUACAAAGACAGCUUAAUGCUAAUCUUAUCAAGUCAGCACAUUAUUUUAAUAUUCUGCUAGAAAACCCAUCCUAGCCAGCAGAAUUAUUACUAUUUUGAGAACUGAUGAAUUUUGUUAUCUCCUUAGGAGUCAUAAUUUUGAAACUAUUGUUUGAUAUUCAUUUGUGUAGCAUGCCAAAGUAAAUUUAAUGCAUCUAUAUUUGAUUGUUUAUUGGUGGAUGCAGUGCUUGAUACCACUGCCAGGAAUUAAUCAUUGAUUUCACUGGCCAUCUAAGCAUUAUCACUGCCGGAACUAUUUUCUGCAUAUUCAAUUUUAUUUGGAAGGUUUUCUUGUAUAAUAAUAUUUCAUAAUUGUCUUUGCCUACACUGGGAUUAUUGUUUUUAGAGCAUGUAGUGUGACAAGAUAAUGAAACUUUCACUGUAUUGUACUUCCCACUUACACGAAAACAGGUAAGACAACAUUAAAGUAAUUAAAUAUUUAUUCAAAAGAUUUUAUGCGAAUUUAUAUGCUUUUUUUAUUGGUAUGAUACAAUAUUGUAUACUGCAUAAAUGUUUUUCUGUUUCAUGUCUAGUGUGCGAGCAACAUGGCAUGCUAACAAUGGACUCUUCAUUACAACAGCCGAAAAUGCUGAAUCGGCCAUCACCACAGUUCACACAACAACUUGUGAUCGCAAGAAGCUACCACUGUUCAAUGUUGCCAGCCUAUGACUCCAUAGUGUCUGUCACGUAACAUGGCAUAUUUCAAUGUUCUCUUAUGUUUGAGCCUUCAUGAGGUACACACACUCUGAAAUUACAUGGUCUAUUAUGUAUGUAUGUAUGUAUGUAUGUAAGAAUGAAUCGGUGCUGU